UUCUCCUCACUCAAGCACCAGGAACACAGGAAAAGUGGAGGUAACAAGCAUAUACAGUUACGAAGAGCAAACGAUGGACUGUUGUCUACCACUGACAAAAAAAUGCGACUGACCAUGCAAUAUUCAGGUAAAUGAUGAAAGGCCACACAGCCAGUUUAGAAACAAUUAUUCUUGUACUGGGAAUUUUCAGAUUUAGCAAGAAGUCAUGAGAUCUUCAGAGAGUCAGUAAAUUUCCACAGACUGUUUCUGUUCUUCACCCCCCCUUGUGGCAAACCUGGCUGAACCACCAAACGUGUCUCAAUCGGUCUGCAACCUGCUCUGCCGCAGGAGCCCUUGGAAAAUCCCAGGUCAGCAGACAACAGCUGUAUCGGGUUAUGGCUCGUGCCAAUAAAGGCAGCAGCGGUUUGCACUGUCACUGACUGUGUGCAUUGGUGGGAGAGGGUUCAACAGGACGAAAUGCACCAAAAGCAUUGUGCAAAGAGGGAGCAGGAGAGAGAGAAAAGGACAGUCAUGGUUUGCAGGGGAAAUGUAAAUAAUUUCUGAGAUCGGAAGGCCUUGAUACAGAGAGAAAACGAGAAGUAGAGAGGGGAAGGAAGAUGCGUUAUCAACUCACAGCGUGAUCUUUCUGGAGUAAAUAAUAGAGCUUUGCAUAUGCUAAGUGUGCUUCACACUUUGCUUCAGCAAGAGCUCUGUACUGUUAAUAUCCUAGAUGCUAGAUUUCCAUGCUCAUAUAUCUUCUCAUUUCAGCGCUGCUGGCACCUAGAAAUCUAAAUUUAAGUCUUCAAAAACAUCCAAAAUCUCUGACUCUAGUCUUAGUGGUUCCCUGCCAAUGUAUGAACAGGACUAUCCUUAUAUAAGGAAACAGUUAAUAACAAACUACAUAAGUCCCACCUGUGGGGCAUUGAGUCUCAGACUACAGUCAUAUAAGAGAAUACAAAAGCUUAUUAAAGGCCUCUUUUCCAAAAAGCACCUUAAAUUCUGGGCCCUGGCAGUGGGCCAGCACAUAGCUCUUUUUUGACUAAAGGCAUGUAGUGUGCUUUGGGGAAACAUGAAUGUUUUGAGCACAGUAUCAGUCAAGAAAUGACAAAUAAAACUCAGAGAAACGUUUUGCAAUUUAAGGAGGCAAGUAACAAUAUGGAAAAAUUGGGCAAAUCCAACCACCAGUGAAACGAUGGAUUUACUCCAUUGGGUGUAUGGCCUUUUGAUUUUCUCUCUGGGACUGUGCCAGGGACAUUAGACAGCGGACUCAAGGCUCGUGCCACUUCUAACUCCCCACUGGCUCACCAAGGCUCAAAUGGUUGACUUGCAUCAAGCUCCUCAUGGACAUGAGAAUACAUUUACCCAGAAAGGAGAUCCUGUACGUUCUGGUUUCCAGAAAGAUGAUGAAAAAUGCAAGGCCUCCUACUACUAGCAGGUGGAUACGUUGCUUGUUCAGAGUACUUUUAGCCUUUCAUACUUCUUGGAGAAGUGGGCAUGGUGGGAGCAGAACCACCAGCUCUCAGUUCCCGUAAACUGAUAAAGGCAGUGGUGCUGGGCAUGAGCAUAUAAUUGGGAUUAGCAGGCUGGACCGCUAUUGAUAAAAACAUUUAAGACUACAUCUGCAGAGCAGAAUAACUCAAGGAAGUCUGGGGCUAUUUCAAAUGGAUCUUUACUGUCAAUGACAAAUUUUUCAUAAGGAUUGGCAAACUUUCUGUGGAAUCGCCCCAAAGAAGCUCUAAUGUGGUUUCCUUUGAUGAGAGGGGAUAGGGACAGGUGCAAGAAUUUCCUCAUUCCCUCAUCUGAUUUUGCACAACUGCAGCAGCCCAGCUCAGCCAUCCACAGGGCGUUUCAACUUCUCCCUCAGCAGGGCAAAAGUGCACCUGAAAAAGAAGCUAUGGAGAAGGAAUCCCUGGCAGCCACUACCCUAGCCUGAAUGCUACGAGGCUCUUCCAGUCCUGCUCUGUAAACAGGAAUUGCCUCUGGACCCUUAAAAAACACACACUACAUCAUUCUGGAAUGGUGUUAAUCUCUCUGUCGUGGAGGUCAAAGCAAGCUUUCUAUUACAAGCUUCAUGAAACACACCUCCUUCCCAGCCACUCACUUGCAGGGAACAAAAUCCAGUCAGUGGGGAUGGUCCACAUGUAACAGGAUGCUGGAACAGGCACUUAAAGCAACGUGGGAGAGGCAUUUUGGAGCUGUGAGACCUCUGAGCUGGAGGCUGAGCCCUCGGUGAGGCAAUACUGGCUCAGUGCCACAGUCAAGGAAGCAGAAGAGAGUUUUCUCUUUGCUUCCUUGCAAAGGACGAUGGUCUAUUUGUGGACAAUACCAGCUAGAGAGGCCACAGCCUCACCUCCCAUGCAAGGUCAGCAGGGCCUUGCCACAGUGCUCCCCGGUAGCAGCCAUGCUCCUUGACUGCCCCUGCCCUGCCCUCAUCUUCCCUAGCACCUUUACAACAGUCCUUUUUCAUCCAUCUUGAUAGCAUUUACACAGCUAGAGCCUGGGUAAGAUUGGGCCUUGUGGUUACAGAACACAAUGUCCCAACCUUGGAGUCACAUUGGCUAGAGCAAUGGUUGACACGUCCCAAAGCACGAACACCGAUACCCAGGGUGUGGUAAGCUGGGGGUUAGCUGAGGACCCUCUGCUUCUCUUUCUUUAACACAUUUUUUGUGUAUUUUUCUAGGGGUCCAGAGUGAAUGUUGGCUUUGCUGAUAAACUUAUCAGUAGCAGCGUGAAACAUCCGUUUCAUUUGUACUGUUUACACAGAGCCUGUUUCUCCAGUUGGUAAAUUGGGAUUGAGCGAACAGGGUGACCCUGUGUUUUCCUCCUUCCCCAGGAACAUUGCUCCUAGCGGUGUGUGUUACGCAUCAGAAGAUCGGGGAGAGAUGCAGAGUCAGGAGCCAGCCCUUCCCCACCCCUACCCUGGAGGUCUUCUACCCCUGUGCAUCAUUCCCAGCCCCAACCCAACCCCGAGAGAUGAGGAAAGGCUGUGGCACAGUAUGUGGACGCCGAUUACAUCUCCAAACAGGAGGAACACACAAUUGGUGGGAGCCGCCUGCUUUCUAGCCCCUUUGUGCUCAGGGGCAGAAAUACAAAUAAGCCUCAAUGUCUUUUUCCUGCUUAUAUGAACUGAGAUCCGUUUUUCAAUAGCAGGCCCUGGCAGAUAAGUAUUCCCUUUGCUUGGUAUUUAUUUUUGGGGAGGGAAGGCCCUUCACUGGCUCCCAUGACACUCCCCUGCAGCACUCAGGAGGUGCGACGGGGUGGGCAGGUAGACCUGUGAUUCAGGGAUGCUCCUACACCCUCUGGAAGCUGGUGUUGCCAUGCCAACCCUGCGCAGCCUGUGCACAGGCAGCCCAGGGAACAGCAGGCUGCUACAGGGUCUGUGCUUUUGCAGAUAGAUCAGUCCCAGGACCCUCCAGAGGAGGAUUGGGUUGAAGCUUCAUGCCACGACCAUAGGACAGGUGAUGGUGUCUCUUGAGUGUUCUCGGCUCAGCUGCUCAUCUCCCCCCCCAACUGGCCCAGUUCCUUGGGUGGCCUCAGAGAGAAUGGGACCACAAACUUUACGAAUGAGUUUUCCUCCGCAAUGAAUGACAUAACAGAACCCUUGCUAAUCGCUCGUGUUGUUUCCGAAGGACGACCGAGAUAGAAGUGGGUAGGAAUGGCAGCAAUCCUCUCAGCAAGCCCAGGCACCCCCGGCAGCAGCCGCACCCGCCCUUACCCGCUCGGCAUGUAACGUCAUGCACCGCCAGAGACUGCGACCCAGAGCCCGUCCAACGCACAGCACACAGGACACGAACAAUUACCUUUCCUCUGCUUAAACUCACCAGAUGGAAUAUUUUAAAAACUGUUCUUUCUGAAAAGCACAAAGUGACAAAUCCAGCUCUGUGCAAAGCCCCCAGAGGUGGAGGGCCCUGCAGACAGCUCAUAGGAUGAAGACUCAGGUUUGAACUUUAUUGUCUUAUUGCACUUAGAGAAUUCCCUGAGUAAUUUCCUGGAUAUUUUCUAGGUUAGUUCCUUAUUGCUUCUUGGUAAAUGAAUUCAAAAUGCUUGCCUUGCCUUGUCUAAACCUCAGUUUGUCAAAAUAUAAAAUGAAAGCAAUGGGACAAGUUGUCCCCUGCUUUUUCUGCAUAGAGUUCAACUUUAUGGAAAUACCAUACAAUGCCCCUCUCCUUCGUUAAAGCCAGUAAGGCCUUUGAAAUCCCCGAAUUCACAACGGCUUAGAAGCACUACAUGUUGCUAUAGGCAGCUCAAUAGAGCACACGUGAAAUGUGAGCAACAAGACUGAUAAAACAGAGGCACUUGGGGUUAGGUAGCUUUUCAUCCCUAAGUGGAAAAAAAGAUGCAUCAUCUAUAAUUGUUUUUUCAUGAUCAGCUUGCCAUCUAAACACCUUUACAAAUCACAAUAUCUGAAAUCUCAAGCAGCUCUACAGGAAAAAA